AUUGAACGCUGGCGGCAGGCUUAACACAUGCAAGUCGAGCGGGGGAGGUUGCUUCGGUAACUGACCUAGCGGCGGACGGGUGAGUAAUGCUUAGGAAUCUGCCUAUUAGUGGGGGACAACAUUCCGAAAGGGAUGCUAAUACCGCAUACGCCCUACGGGGGAAAGCAGGGGAUCUUCGGACCUUGCGCUAAUAGAUGAGCCUAAGUCGGAUUAGCUAGUUGGUGGGGUAAAGGCCUACCAAGGCGACGAUCUGUAGCGGGGCUGAGAGGAUGAUCCGCCACACUGGGACUGAGACACGGCCCAGACUCCUACGGGAGGCAGCAGGGGGGAAGAUUGGACAAUGGGCGGAAGCCUGAUCCAGCCAUGCCGCGUGUGUGAAGAAGGCCUUUUGGUUGUAAAGCACUUUAAGCGAGGAGGAGGCUCUUAAGGUUAAUACCCAAGAUGAGUGGACGUUACUCGCAGAAUAAGCACCGGCUAACUCUGUGCCAGCCGCCGCCGUAACAC
rnacentral:rRNA from 1 species